UACGGAGGGUGCAAGCGUUAUCCGGAUUUACUGGGUUUAAAGGGUGCGUAGGUGGGUCUGUAAGUCAGUGGUGAAAUCUGCGAGCUUAACUCGGAAACUGCCAUUGAUACUAUAGGUCUUGAAUUAUCUGGAGGUAAGCGGAAUAUGUCAUGUAGCGGUGAAAUGCUUAGAUAUGACAUAGAACCCCAAUUGCGAAGGCAGCUUACUACGGAUUGAUUGACACUGAGGCACGAAAGCGUGGGGAUCAAACAGG
rnacentral:rRNA from 1 species